AAGUAUAUGUUAAGGACUGAUUGUCCUUAACUUUUGCACAUGAAACUUGAAGUUAAGGACUAAGUGUCCUUAACUUUGGAUGUUGAAAGUAUAAGUUAAGGACUGUAUUUCCUUAACCUUUGCAUUUACAAUUUAAAGUUAAGGACUGAUUGUCCUUAACUUUUGCACAUGAAACUUGAAGUUAAGGACAAAAUGUCCUAACUUUGGAUGUUGAAAGUAUAAGUAAGGACUGUAUUUCCUUAACCUAUGCACUUACAAUUUAAAGUUAAGGACUGAUUGUCCUUAACUUUGGAUGUUGAAAGUAUAAGUUAAGGACUGUAUUUCCUUAACCUUUGCAUUUACAAUUUAAAGUUAAGGACUUAUUGUCCUUAACUUUUGCACAUGAAACUUGAAGUUAAGGACUAAGUGCCCUUAACUUUGGAAGUUGAAAGUAUAAGUUAAGGACUGUAUUUCUUUAACGUUUGCACUUAAAAUUUAAAGUUAAGGAUUGUAUUUGCUUAACUUUUAAACUUGAAAUUUUAAGUUAAGUCCUAAUCUUUGUUUGUUUUUCCUUCUUUUCUAGUGUUAUAAUGGAAGGCGAUCAUUUUUUUUGAUUUUGACGAUUGGCGUAAUUUUCUGGUACAUUGGAAAGGAGAUUUUCAAUAUAAGGAAACAAUUAAAAGUUUUCUGUCGAAUGGCCAAUGGAAGAAAUUGAGGGAAAAUAUUUUUGGCAACUUCUUCAGAUUACAAAGUGUGAAGUUCUCGGGUAAACUUAUGCAUUGUGUAUUUCUUUCUGAAAUUGUUAGUAAUGAACCUGAUUCGAUGACCUUCAAGGUAUUUGACCGCGAUAUUAAGUUUACUCGUGAUGCAUUCCAUAUUAUUACUGGUUUGAAGUCU
rnacentral:lncRNA from 1 species